rnacentral:rRNA from 1 species
UACGUAGGGUGCAAGCGUUAAUCGGAAUUACUGGGCGUAAAGCGUGCGCAGGCGGUUGGGCAAGACAGAUGUGAAAUCCCCGGGCUUAACCUGGGAAUGGCAUUUGUGACUGUCCGGCUAGAGCGUGUCAGAGGGGGGUAGAAUUCCACGUGUAGCAGUGAAAUGCGUAGAGAUGUGGAGGAAUACCGAUGGCGAAGGCAGCCCCCUGGGAUAACACUGACGCUCAUGCACGAAAGCGUGGGGAGCAAACAGG